GUAGCUCAGCAUUAGAGCACUUGCCUAGCAUGCAUAAGGCCCUGGGUUCAAUUCCCAGC
rnacentral:tRNA from 1 species